rnacentral:rRNA from 1 species
GGAGCGCAACUGACGCUCAUGCUCGAAAGUGCGGGUAUCGAACAGGAUUAGAUACCCUGGUAGUCCGCACGGUAAACGAUGGAUGCCCGCUAUUUGUCCAUUAGGAUAAGUGGCCAAGUGAAAACGUUAAGCAUCCCACCUGGGGAGUACGCCGGCAACGGUGAAACUCAAAGGAAUUGACGGGGGCCCGCACAAGCGGAGGAACAUGUGGUUUAAUUCGAUGAUACGCGAGGAACCUUACCCGGGCUUGAAUUGUGAGAGAAGGAUCCAGAGAUGGUGACGCCCUUCGGGGCUCUCAUGAAGGUGCUGCAUGGUUGUCGUCAGCUCGUGCCGUGAGGUGUCGGCUUAAGUGCCAUAACGAGCGCAACCCCUCUCUUCAGUUGCCAUCAGGUUAAGCUGGGCACUCUGGAGACACUGCCACCGUAAGGUGUGAGGAAGGUGGGGAUGACGUCAAAUCAGCACGGCCCUUACGUCCGGGGCUACACACGUGUUACAAUGGGUGGUACAGAGAGUUGGGUGCCCGCAAGGUCACUCUAAUCAAUAAAUCCAUCCUCAGUUCGGACUGGGGUCUGCAACCCGACCCCACGAAGCUGGAUUCGCU